CACUAGAAGAAAUGAUUUUUAGCAAUACCUGCCCAGUGCGACAUAUUACUGUAAACGGCCGCCCUAGCGUGAGGGUGCUAAGGUAGCGAAAUUCCUUGCCUUUUAAUUGUAGGCCUGCAUGAAUGGUUUAACGAGGGUUAAGCUGUCUCUAAGUUUAUAAGUUGAAAUUGUGUUAAAGGUGAAGAUACCUUUAUUUUGAAGUUAGACAAAAAGACCCCGUGCAACUUUGAAAAUUAGCUUUAUUAAAAGGUGAGAGAUUUUUAGGUGGGGCGCCUAGAGAGCUAGUUCUAACCUCUUUUACUGAGUUGUUAAAACUUUCAAGUCUUGACCCGGUUAUACCCGAUCAUAGGAGAAGUUACGCCGGGGAUAACAGGCUAAUCCUUUAGUAGAGCUCGUAUUGGCUAAAGGGAUUGGCACCUCGAUGUUGAAUCAGGGAUGAUACCUUUGAGGCGUAGAAGCUUCGAGAGUGGGUCUGUUCGACCUUUAAUACCCU
rnacentral:rRNA from 1 species